UGCUACUUCCUCUCUCUUUGUCUGCCUUCGUCUUUCAAUUUUUCUUCUUCCCCCUUUUUCAUUAACUGGGCUUUAGUAGGGCUCUAUUGUCCGUGCAGGAGCAUGUUGGAUCCACCCUUGAUUUCUUCUCCAUCAAUUACAUAAGGGACCAUUAUGUAUGAGAAAAAAUACAUCAGGGAUUUUAUAGACUAGUCGACAUUGUCCUAAACAUACCACAAUAUAUUACUAAAGGAUAAUCAGAAGAAAAAUGAUAUGUGAGUACAUUAAUAAAUGGACUAUAGCAUCAAAUAACAUGUUUGGGGUGAGAAAAAUUUAUUUUUGGGAUACUAAACAGACUCAUGUGAUGUGAACUUCUAUUUUGCAAAUACAAUAAUGCCAUCAAUGCGAAAUGUUGAUUAGGGUGAGCAAGAUGGCAAAAUGAUUGCUGUGAAACUGCUUCACUUGAUGCCGCAACGACUUGACUAUGAAGAGGAAUUCAUGAAGGCUGAACGAGUUCGAGAACCUUAAGAGGCUCAACCACCCUAAUAUUGUACAGCUACAUGGCUACUGCUAUGAAAUAAAGCGUGAAUGUGUAGAGUUUGAAGGUAGAUCUGUUAUUGCUGAUAAAAUCUAUAGAGCACUCUGCUUUGAGUAUAUGCCCAAUGGAAAUCUUCAAGGACACCUUGACGAUGAAUCCCGUGGAAUGGACUGGCACACACGCUACAAAAUUAUCAAGGGGACUUGCGAGGGUUUAAAAUAUCUCCAUGAGGGAUUGAAAACUCCUAUGUACCAUUUAGAUCUAAAACCUGGUAAUAUAUUAUUGGACAAGAAUAUGGCGCCAAAGCUUGCCGAUUUUGGUUUAUCUAAGCACGUCAGUGACAACCAGACUCGAGCUACAUCAAACUCUUUAGGAACAAUGUAACUUAAUUCCUCUCUAACCUCAGUUUUCAAAAAAAAACUAAUCGUGUUUUCUAACACUCUUGAAUCUACAAAUGUCAUGCAGUAGAUAUUGUCCACCUGAACACAUUGAGCGUAACUAUUUCUCAAACAAGUUUGACAUAUUCAGCUUGGGUGUUGUAAUGAUAGAGAUAAUUGCUGGGUCCGAAGGCUACCGAAAGGUAGCUGAAAUGCCUUCUAAAGAAUUUAUCCAUCAUGUAAGUUAAGCCCCUUCUAUCAAGAUUCUUGAAUAUGUAUAUAAACUCUGAGUAUCUUUCUGUGCCUGA